rnacentral:rRNA from 1 species
AUUGAACGCUGGCGGCAGGCCUAACACAUGCAAGUCGAACGAGUGGCGGACGGGUGAGUAAUGUCUGGGAAACUGCCCGAUGGAGGGGGAUAACUACUGGAAACGGUAGCUAAUACCGCAUACCAUCGGAUGUGCCCAGAUGGGAUUAGCUGGUAGGUGAGGUAACGGCCCACCUAGGCGCCGAUCCCUAGCUGGGCUGAGAGGAUGACCAGCCACACGGGAAAUGAGACACGGUCCAGACGCCUAGGGGAGGCAGCAGUGGGGAAUAUGGCACAAUGGGCGCAAGCCUGAUGCAGCCAUGCCGCGGGUAUGAAGAAGGACUUCGGGUUGUAAAGUACUUUCAGCGGGGAGGCGUUACCCGCAGAAGAAGCACCGGCUAACUCCGUGCCAGCCGCCGCGGUAAUUC